AGUCUAAACACCUUGACGAAAGUCUAUUGGAGGGCAAGUCUGGUGCCAGCAGCCGCGGUAAUACCAGCUCCAAUAGCGUAUAUUAACGUUGUUGCAGUUAAAAAGCUCGUAGUUGGAUUUCUGGUUAGGUAAGCCGAGUUUUGUGCCUCAACAGGUGCGAUAACUUGUAGUUCUUCCUGCCAUCAUUCGUGGAGAUUUUAUGUUACUUUAAUUAGUAAUAUAAAGGAUCCCGAUCAAUUACUUUGAAAAAAUUAGAGUGUUCAAAGCAAGCGUAUGCUCUGAAUACAUUAGCAUGGAAUAAUAAAGUAGGACUUUUGUCUUGUUUUGUUGGUUUAAGGAUGAAAGUAAUGAUUGAUAGGGAUAGUUGGGGGUGCUCGUAUUCAACGGCCAGAGGUGAAAUUCAAUGAUUCGUUGAAGACGAACUACUGCGAAAGCAUUCACCAAGGAUGUCUUCUUUAAUCAAGAACGAGAGUUGGGGGAUCGAAGACGAUCAGAUACCGUCGUAGUCUCAACCAUAAACUAUGCCAACUAGGGAUUGGUGGGCGUGUUUAACCCCAUCAGCACCUUAAGAGAAAUCAAAGUCUUUGGGUUCCGGGGGGAGUAUGGUCGCAAGGCUGAAACUUAAAGGAAUUGACGGAAGGGCACCACAAGGAGUGGAGCCUGCGGCUUAAUUUGACCCAACACGGGAAAACUUACCAGGUCCAGACACAGGGAGGAUUGACAGAUUGAAGAUCUUUCAUGAUUCUGUGGGUGGUGGUGCAUGGCCGUUCUUAGUUGGUGGAGUGAUUUGUCUGGUUAAUUCCGAUAACGAACGAGACCUCAGCCUGCUAAAUAGUUAUGCGAAUUACUUUUGUGAUUCGUGAUAACUUCUUAGAGGGACUUUUGGUUCACUAGCCAAAGGAAGUAUGAGGCAAUAACAGGUCUGUGAUGCCCUUAGAUGUUCUGGGCUGCACGCGCGCUACACUGGCACGCUCAACAAGCUAUCCAAGAUCGGAAGAUCUCGGUAGUCUUUGAAAGCGUGCCGUGAUUGGGCUAGAUUAUUGCAAUUAUUAAUCUUAAACGAGGAAUUCCUAGUAAACGCAAGUCAUCAGCUUGCAUUGAUUACGUCCAUGCCCUUUGUACACACCGCCCGUCGCUCCUACCGAUUGAAUGAUCCGGUGAAAUCUCGGGAUUGUGGAACAUAUUAAUUGUUUCGUAAGAACUUGAUUAAACCUUAUCGUUUAGAGGAAGGAGAAGUCGUAACAAGGU
rnacentral:rRNA from 1 species